rnacentral:lncRNA from 1 species
GAGGAAUAUCUUUUUUGAGGCAAAGACCUUCAUUGUCACAGUGGGCUCCCACAGAUUGAGAUGAAAUUUAGGUGCAAUGAGGCCAAUGACACCAUUAGAUCACAUCAUUUGCAGUAUUUCCAUUGAGGUAUUUACCACAUUACUGAUAAAGCAACUGAGCCUAGGACAAGGAAGAUAAACCAGCUCAAAAUCACAGAGCAGGUUCCAUUUACUUAUGCAUCAAGUGGGAAAACAAGACCAGCCGCCUCUACUGGCAGGGAAUCUUGUGGGAAAUGUGGGCAUGGACAUACACAGAAGGAAGAUAGUGUGAAGACACAGCAGAAUGCAGACAUCUGCCAGCCUGGGGGAGAGGCCUCAGAAGAAACUGAACUGGCCAACAAACUUGAUUUUGGACUUCCAGCCUCCACACUUGUGAGAAAAUACAUUUCUGUUAUUUAAGCCAUCCAGUCUGUGGUACUUUGUU